rnacentral:rRNA from 1 species
CCUACGGGAGGCAGCAGUGGGGAAUAUUGCACAAUGGGCGCAAGCCUGAUGCAGCCAUGCCGCGUGUAUGAAGAAGGCCUUCGGGUUGUAAAGUACUUUCAGCGGGGAGGAAGGUGUUGUGGUUAAUAACCGCAGCAAUUGACGUUACCCGCAGAAGAAGCACCGGCUAACUCCGUGCCAGCAGCCGCGGUAAUA